UACGUAGGGUGCAAGCGUUGUCCGGAAUUAUUGGGCGUAAAGAGCUCGUAGGCGGUCUGUCGCGUCGGCUGUGAAAACCCGCAGCUUAACUGCGGGACUGCAGUCGAUACGGGCAGGCUAGAGUUCGGUAGGGGAGACUGGAAUUCCUGGUGUAGCGGUGAAAUGCGCAGAUAUCAGGAGGAACACCGGUGGCGAAGGCGGGUCUCUGGGCCGAUACUGACGCUGAGGAGCGAAAGCGUGGGGAGCGAACAGG
rnacentral:rRNA from 1 species